GAAAACCUCACCAGUUUUAUGGGAUAGCAAGAGAGCUCAAGAAAUUAUGACUUUAAAUGCUGAUCUCACUUUCACCCAUCAGCAGUGCCUCUACCUUCAGCAGACCUCUGAGGCACUUGCCAAGGAAUUCCAAUUCAAGGCAGAGACAUCCAGCAUAGUGCAGGACCUUCAGCAUAUAAAAGAUCAGCAGGCUCAAAUGGGUGAAAAUUUAGCAGCUGCAACCCCUAGCAGCAGCAACCCAACGUUAAGUAAAAUUGUAAAGGUGAUGACAGAUGCUCUGGCUUGGGCCAAGCAGACAGAAUGUGAUGUCAUAGGACGACAGAAAAAGGUGUCUUUGCUUCCAGAAGAGGUCCAUCGACAGAUAAAAAAUUUAAAGAAAUCGCAGUCUGAGAUGAGCUCCAAGCAAACCCAGUUGAAGGCUUUGGUUGAGGAAGUCACUGAGCUGAUUUGUGAACUAGAUGAGGCUGAUGUUUCGAUGGUGACCUCAUCCUUGAAUAUCCUAGAAAAUUUGUCCAAAUCAACAGCAGGAAAACUGGCUGAGGCAGUUCGUGAGAUGGAGUCAGGUCUUCAGACCCGGGAGAAGAUGUCAGAGCAAAUAGCAGAUAUUGAUUCCUGGGUGGUUGUACAUCGGCAGAGGGUAGCUUUGAGAAAAGAGGAUUAUCAAAGUUUGAGUGUGGCAGACCUGGAUCGCAGGUUGAGACGGAUCCAGGACACUCUUGGAGAGGCAGAAAAGCAGUCUGCGGUCACUGAAGCCCUUCUGAUGAAAAGCAGAGACAUUGCAUCAGAGCUAUGUGUCUCAGAGAAUACUCAGCUCUAUGAGAAACUCACCAGCCUUCAAGAGGACAUCAAGAGCAUUGUUCUCUAUGAGAAAGCAUGUUGCCAAAAAGUUAUGGAUGUCAUGCAGUGCCAAGAAUCUUCUCAGAGGAAGGUAUCAUCUCUUGAGAACAGCCUGAGACAAAUGUUAGUUGAUGUAAAAAGACACAGGUUUCCUGUUACCAAGGAUACCCUCUCUGUUAUUGAACCCUUCAAACAGAUGAUUAUGGAACGCAAAUCUCAGGUUGAGCAAGUCAGUCUCAGUUCAGAAGACAAGAGAAUAGAGCUGUUAGGUGUUAUUACUGAACUGUACCACAAAAUGAUUGAUUUGGAACUCAAAUCACAAGCUCAUGAAAGGUACUUGAGCUUCAGUCGGUGCAUUGAUGAUGUCAAGGAAGAAAUGGAGACUCAAAUACCAAGGACCAAAGAUGAGAGCAUCAGCAAAGAGGAACGCUACAGAGCCUGUCAUGCCCUACUGAUCCAAAUCAAUUUAAUAAAACUCUUGUGUGAGGAAACAAUGGAUGAACUGCAGGAAAUCUUAGCAGAUCUAUAUCCGUCUCAGAUCUCUACUGAACAAGCAAGAUUUAAACAAAUCCUGGAAAGUCUCAAAACCUCAGAGUUGGCAGUGAACAAUAAUCUUCAGAUAUUGGAAUGGGAUCUGCUAAAACAUAUUCAUUAUCCAUCAGAAAAAAGAGUACUUAAGCAAUUCCUCAAAGACACUAAUGUGGAGUUGGAAAGGCCUUGUAGUAUUGAACCAAAAGAG
ensembl:lncRNA